AGAGACCCCGGUAUGCAGAGUGCCCUUUCGUCAUUCCGUGUGCGUGUAGAGCGAACCGUGGGUGCGCCGUCAUCGUGCUGUGGGGCGUGAUUACGUGUAUUCCUCAAGCUUGCUGCACACAAUUACUGCUAGGAGGUCGUGGAAGCCCACCCGAAAGCAGUCGAAUCUUUCAUCGGAAUCGAGCCCUCCCCGCUGGCCUGCUCGUCCGUGCAUCUCUGCGGACGCAAAGAACCACGGUACGACGAGCGGUUAAAAUACCCCUAUCGCUUUCUC
rnacentral:lncRNA from 7 species